CGUACCUUUUGUAUAAUGGGUCAGCGACUUAUAUUCUGUAGCAAGGUUAACCGUAUAGGGGAGCCGGAGGGAAACCGAGUCUUAACCGGGCGUUAAGUUGCAGGGUAUAGACCCGAAACCCGGUGAUCUAGCCAUGGGCAGGUUGAAGGUUGGGUAACACUAACUGGAGGACCGAACCGACUAAUGUUGAAAAAUUAGCGGAUGACCUGUGGCUGGGGGUGAAAGGCCAAUCAAACCGGGAGAUAGCUGGUUCUCCCCGAAAGCUAUUUAGGUAGCGCCUCGUGAAUUCAUCUCCGGGGGUAGAGCACUGUUUCGGCUAGGGGGCCAUCCCGGCUUACCAACCCGAUGCAAACUGCGAAUACCGGAGAAUGUUAUCACGGGAGACACACGGCGGGUGCUAACGUCCGUCGUGAAGAGGGAAACAACCCAGACCGCCAGCUAAGGUCCCAAAGUCAUGGUUAAGUGGGAAACGAUGUGGGAAGGCCCAGACAGCCAGGAUGUUGGCUUAGAAGCAGCCAUCAUUUAAAGAAAGCGUAAUAGCUCACUGGUCGAGUCGGCCUGCGCGGAAGAUGUAACGGGGCUAAACCAUGCACCGAAGCUGCGGCAGCGANNNNNNNNNNNNNNNNNNNNNNNNNNNNNNNNNNNNNNNNNNNNNUGCUGGAGGUAUCAGAAGUGCGAAUGCUGACAUAAGUAACGAUAAAGCGGGUGAAAAGCCCGCUCGCCGGAAGACCAAGGGUUCCUGUCCAACGUUAAUCGGGGCAGGGUGAGUCGACCCCUAAGGCGAGGCCGAAAGGCGUAGUCGAUGGGAAACGGGUUAAUAUUCCCGUACUUGGUGUUACUGCGAAGGGGGGACGGAGAAGGCUAUGUUGGCCGGGCGACGGUUGUCCCGGUUUAAGCGUGUAGGUGUGUGUUCCAGGUAAAUCCGGUUCACUUUAACACUGAGGCGUGACGACGAGGCACUACGGUGCUGAAGCAACAAAUGCCCUGCUUCCAGGAAAAGCCUCUAAGCAUCAGGUAACACGAAAUCGUACCCCAAACCGACACAGGUGGUCAGGUAGAGAAUACCAAGGCGCUUGAGAGAACUCGGGUGAAGGAACUAGGCAAAAUGGUGCCGUAACUUCGGGAGAAGGCACGCUGACACGUAGGUGAAGUGAUUUACUCAUGGAGCUGAAGUCAGUCGAAGAUACCAGCUGGCUGCAACUGUUUAUUAAAAACACAGCACUGUGCAAACACGAAAGUGGACGUAUACGGUGUGACGCCUGCCCGGUGCCGGAAGGUUAAUUGAUGGGGUCAGCGCAAGCGAAGCUCCUGAUCGAAGCCCCGGUAAACGGCGGCCGUAACUAUAACGGUCCUAAGGUAGCGAAAUUCCUUGUCGGGUAAGUUCCGACCUGCACGAAUGGCGUAAUGAUGGCCAGGCUGUCUCCACCCGAGACUCAGUGAAAUUGAACUCGCUGUGAAGAUGCAGUGUACCCGCGGCAAGACGGAAAGACCCCGUGAACCUUUACUAUAGCUUGACACUGAACAUUGAGCCUUGAUGUGUAGGAUAGGUGGGAGGCUUUGAAGUGUGGACGCCAGUCUGCAUGGAGCCGACCUUGAAAUACCACCCUUUAAUGUUUGAUGUUCUAACGUGGACCCGUAAUCCGGGUUGCGGACAGUGUCUGGUGGGUAGUUUGACUGGGGCGGUCUCCUCCUAAAGAGUAACGGAGGAGCACGAAGGUUGGCUAAUCCUGGUCGGACAUCAGGAGGUUAGUGCAAUGGCAUAAGCCAGCUUGACUGCGAGCGUGACGGCGCGAGCAGGUGCGAAAGCAGGUCAUAGUGAUCCGGUGGUUCUGAAUGGAAGGGCCAUCGCUCAACGGAUAAAAGGUACUCCGGGGAUAACAGGCUGAUACCGCCCAAGAGUUCAUAUCGACGGCGGUGUUUGGCACCUCGAUGUCGGCUCAUCACAUCCUGGGGCUGAAGUAGGUCCCAAGGGUAUGGCUGUUCGCCAUUUAAAGUGGUACGCGAGCUGGGUUUAGAACGUCGUGAGACAGUUCGGUCCCUAUCUGCCGUGGGCGCUGGAGAACUGAGGGGGGCUGCUCCUAGUACGAGAGGACCGGAGUGGACGCAUCACUGGUGUUCGGGUUGUCAUGCCAAUGGCACUGCCCGGUAGCUAAAUGCGGAAGAGAUAAGUGCUGAAAGCAUCUAAGCACGAAACUUGCCCCGAGAUGAGUUCUCCCUGAGACUUAGAGUCUCCUGAAGGAACGUUGAAGACGACGACGUUGAUAGGCCGGGUGUGUAAGC
rnacentral:rRNA from 1 species